UACGUAGGGUGCGAGCGUUGUCCGGAAUUAUUGGGCGUAAAGAGCUCGUAGGUGGUUUGUCGCGUCGUCUGUGAAAUUCCGGGGCUUAACUCCGGGCGUGCAGGCGAUACGGGCAUAACUUGAGUACUGUAGGGGAGACUGGAAUUCCUGGUGUAGCGGUGAAAUGCGCAGAUAUCAGGAGGAACACCGAUGGCGAAGGCAGGUCUCUGGGCCACUACUGACGCUGAGAAGCGAAAGCAUGGGGAGCGAACAGG
rnacentral:rRNA from 1 species